UACGAAGGGGGCUAGCGUUGUUCGGAAUUACUGGGCGUAAAGCGCAUGUAGGCGGCUUAUUAAGUCCGAUGUGAAAGCCCAAGGCUCAACCUUGGAAUUGCAUCGGAUACUGGCAAGCUAGAAUCCGGGAGAGGAUAGUAGAAUUUUCAGUGUAGAGGUGAAAUUCGUAGAUAUUGAAAAGAAUACCAGUGGCGAAGGCGGCUAUCUGGACCGGUAUUGACGCUAAGAUGCGAAAGUGUGGGGAGCAAAC
rnacentral:rRNA from 1 species